rnacentral:rRNA from 1 species
UACGGAGGGUGUAAGCGUUAUCCGGAUUUAUUGGGUUUAAAGGGUACGUAGGCGGUAAUAUAAGUCAGUGGUGAAAUCCUGCAGCUCAACUGUAGAACUGCCAUUGAAACUGUAUUACUUGAGUAUACUUGAGGUAGGCGGAAUGAGUAGUGUAGCGGUGAAAUGCUUAGAUAUUACUCAGAACACCGAUUGCGAAGGCAGCUUACUAAGGUAUAACUGACGCUGAUGUACGAAAGCGUGGGGAGCGAACAGG